rnacentral:rRNA from 1 species
UACGUAGGGGGCGAGCGUUGUCCGGAUUUAUUGGGCGUAAAGAGCGUGUAGGCGGCCAGGUAGGUCCGUUGUGAAAACUCGAGGCUCAACCUCGAGACGUCGAUGGAAACCAUCUGACUAGAGUCCGGAAGAGGAGAGUGGAAUUCCUGGUGUAGCGGUGAAAUGCGUAGAUAUCAGGAGGAACACCGGUGGUGUAGACGGCUCACUGGACCGUAACUGACGCUGAGACACGAAAGCGUGGGGAGCAAACAGG